GGGGCUGUAGCCUACUGGUUAGAGCGUCGGACUCUCGACUUGAAGGUCGGGGGUUCGAUUCCCAAUCCCA
rnacentral:tRNA from 1 species